AAAAUCGAAUCCAUCCACAAUGGCCACCGCAUCGGGUCGCAACUUGGUCAGCGCCGCCUCCAGUCGUGCCUGCAGCUGGCCCAGAUGGACAUCCGUCAAGCUGGCAACCUGAAAAACAAAUGGAAAUGAAGCCAAAUUCGUACAGCUCCAGCAGUUGCUCCAGCACGCGGUUCAGUGCGGAGGAGCGUGUCUUGGACUUUGGACCAGUUACCUCGGUCAGGAAAUUGUGGAAUACAAAAGCGCGUGCAUGAAACUAAACAAAAAUGUUAUAAAUAAUUCAGUGAGAUUGCCAAGAUUUAA